CGGGGUUUCACCAGGCUGGUCUCAAACUCCUGAUCUUAGGUGAUCCACCUGCCUCGGCCUCCCGUAGUGCUGGGAUUAUAGGCUUGAACCACCGUGCUUGGCCCAGGAGUUGUAUUCUUGAUCUAGGUUUAAAUGUAAACCUACACUUGGCCUAGGUUUUAAGUAAAACCCUACGUGUUUUUGCCUAUGUAAAGGUCUGUUAGGACAUUGGAAAGUUGUGCAGGAUAUGGGACAGUUCUUUCUAGUGUGACCUGCCCUGAAUACUGCAGGACAUCCACUAUCCCUGACCCUGCCGGAUAAUGCAAGUAACACCCCAGCUCCAACUGUCAUGAUGAUGAAAAAUGCCCCCAGUAUUGCCAAAGUGGCCCUUAGAAGCUGGUUUUUCCCUUCUUGAAGAGCACCGAAGCCUUUUUGAAGAAGGAUGCCACCUAUGUGUCAUCUGGAUGCCUAAUAAUAGCACCCGGCACUGAGUUGGGUUGGAGGUAGCUUCCUGACUCUGUUGAACCAAGUCUUUAAAGCCGAUUCUGUUAAGCCAGGUUUGUCUCGCCAGCACAUGAUGAAGGGUUGUUGCUAUGGACUGAGCCUCCAGGAUUCUAUCUGUGAUGGUGUGACUGGGGCCCGUGACAGAGGACAGCACAGUGGCUACGCCAAGGGCUGGAUAACACAGAGAUGCCCUCUGGGCCAGCACCCCCAAGUGCCAUGUAUAUUUCCAGAGCAUCUCUAAGUUUCCCCCAUUUGGCUGUGAGACCUCAUCCACAAGGCCUUCUCCUACCUCCUGUGAUGAUCUCUGGGGUCGCCACCGCAUCAGUGCCUUCACAGCAUUCCUUGGAUAUGGCAGUGCAUGGCUGGGCUGGCUCAGCUGAGAACAGCUGUCCACGCGGAACAGGAACCCAUUGGAGGCAGCACGUAUUCUCGGCUGCUCUGGUGAGAGUGGUGUUUCCAGAUUCUGGUGGGCCUCCCUCUCCAACACAGCAUACCUGGCUGACCUCCAGCUUGGCCCUGGAGGGGUUUCCCUCCUCCCUUUUUCUCCACAGCUUCAUUUGAGAGUGGGAUUCAGGAGGACUCUCCUCCACCAGCAGCUCACUUCCUGUUUGCAUUGUUCGGAAAGCCAGGCAAGAUCUGGGGAUAAGUAACCCCUGUCCCCCACAUUUACAGCUCUGAGGAUUUUCUAAAAGGCUGAUCAACAAUCUGAUUCCUGGGGACUCUGCUCUACUCUCUAAUUUCAGAAAGCAUGUUGCACUGUGGCCCUCAGCUGGGCAUCCUGCCCUUAGAGUCCUGUCUCUUGGCAUAUCCUAGGUCUCAGCUAGGUGGCGGCUUUCCUCUGCUUCUGAAGGUAAACAAUAGUAGCAGAGGGUAGAAGCCAGCUGUUCCUUGCCCCCAGGCCUCAUUUCUAGGGUUGGCACUCCAUGAUGGCAAGAGACAUUAUCUCUGGCAGACAGCAGAGGGUGGCAGGGGACUGAAGAUCUCAUUUUGCCCAUUUAUGCGAUUCCUCUCCGGCCCCAGUCUUAUUUCCUGUCUUGUUCCCACCUUCUGCCUCUGUUCAUGUAUAGGCUUUAGCACACGGCAGACAUUUAGCACACGGCAGACAUUUGACAUUCUGCAACUCUGCAAGAUGUUCAGUUUCCUGAUUAUUGAAUACCUAGACCUUCUUAAUAAGCCUGAGCCUCAUUUCCAUUCUCAUUUCCAGUAGGCCAGCUUGAACCAAACCAUAUUGCUAUCAUAAAGAAGCUUACUAGAAAAAUAAAGAAAUGGGAGAGGCUAUAGUGUGUAGGGAUUUAUACUGCAUAAUAACACUUCAAAGAAAUUAAGGAAGUGAUUACUGUAAAAGUCAGAAUCAUUGUUAAUUUGGGCGGCAGAGACUGGACUGUGGGUGGCCUGGAAAAGUUCUAUUUCUUGAUUUGCAUGCUGGGCUCCAAGGGUAUUUAGCUUAUAAUAAUUCAUCAAGCUAUGCAUUUUUGCAUACUGUGUAUAUAUGUAUUUAUUUUCCAGUAAAAAGUUAAACAAUCCAAUCAAAAGGCAGAGAUUGUCAGGCUGGAUUAAAAAUCAUGACCCAAUUUUAGAUUCUAAGAAACUAGUAGGUUGAAUGUAAAAUAAUGGAAAAAAAGACGUAGCGGGUAAACAACAACCACAAGAAAGUAGAAGUGGCUAUAGAUAUGCACCUAAUACUGAAACGUCAAAACACACGAAGCAAAAUGGACAGAAAGGCAAGAGAAAGAUAAUUCAACAAUCGUUGGAUACUUCAGUACCUCACUCUCAAUAAUAGAUGGAACAACCGGACAGAAGAUUGCUGAGGAAAUAGAAGACUUUAAUAAUACUCUAAACCAACUAGACCUAGCAACAUCUAUAGAACAUGUCACCUAACAACGGAAUAUAUACUCCUCUCAAGUGCACAUAAAACAUUGUCCAGGAAAGAUCAUAUGCUAGGGCAUAAAAUAAACAUCAAUACAUUAAAUAGGGUAGAAUAAUAAAAAGUGUGCUCUUCAGUCACAACGAAUAAAAUUAGAAAUCAAUAGCACAAAAAAUCAGGAAACUCACAAAUAUGAUAUAAUAUUCCUAAAUAAUAAAUGAGUCAAGGAGGAAAUAAAAAAACUAUUCAGAAAGUGGCUGGGCGCGGUGGCUCACACCUGUAAUCCCUGCACUUUGGGACUCUGAGGCGGGUGGAUCACCUGAGGUCAGAAGUUCGAGACCAGCCUGACCAAUAUGGUGAAACCCUGACUCUAGUAAAAAUACAAAAAUUAGCUGGGCAUGGUGGCCUGUGCCUGUAGUCCCAGCUACUUUGGAGGCUGAGACAGUAGAAUUGCUUGAACCCGGGAGGUGGAGGGUGCAGUGAGCCGAGAUCACACCAUUGUAAUCCAGCCUGAGUGACAGGGCAAGAUUCUGUCAAAAACAAAAACAAAAACAAAAACAAACAGAAAAAAGAAUUCAGAAACUACUUUGUGGUAAAUGAAAAUAAAGAUCAAUAUAUCAAAAAUUUAUAGGAUGCAGCUAAAGCAAAACUUAUAGGAGAAUUUAUCAUUGUAAAUGUCUAUAUUCAGAAAGAAGAAAAAUUAAAAAACUUGUAUGUAAAUGUUUCAAGCAGCAUUCUUCAUAAUAGCCCAAAGUGGGAACAACCCAAAUGCCAUCAACUGACAGAUGAACAAAUGUGCUAUAUGGUACAAUAGAUUGUUAAUUGGCCAGAAAAGGGAAUGAAGUACUGAUACCUUCAAAAGCAUGGAUGGAUCUUGGAAAUGCUAUGCUAAGUGAAAGAUGCCAGUCACAAAAGAAUAUACAUUAUAUGAUUCCAUUCAUGUGAAAUUCCAGAACAGAGAAGUCUACAGAGACAGAAGGUGGAAUAGUAAUUACUUAGGGCUGAGGGAGGACGGGGAGGUGGAUACAGGGAUAAUUGCUAAGGGUAUGAGGUUGCAUUUUGAGUUGAUAAAAUGCUCCUAAAUUGACUGGGGUGAUAAGUGCAAAUAUCUGUGAAUAUACUGAAACCAUUGAAGUGUACACUUUAAGUGGGUGACUUGGUUGGUAUCUGAAUUACAUAUCAAUAAAGUUGUUUUUUAAAAAGUUAAAAAGUGUUUAGAAACAUUGCUGUAAGUACCUUUGAAUACACAUGAGUCAGACAUAUUUGGGAGGAUCUGUAAAUUCAGAUUUAACCAAUAUAAUAAUAUUAAACAUUAAAAGUUUAGUUUUACUCAUCUUUAUCCAAUGUAAACUGUAUUUUAUACUAAUACUAUAAUAGAAUAAGCUCCACUUUUUAUAUUUAACGUCUUCAGCAUUUUCUAAUAUUUCAAUUCAGUUUUUGUAAUUAGCUAUUUUAAAAGUCUGUCUACAAUUUCAAGGAGUGAAUUUGCUGAAGUUUAUGUAGUAAUUCUCCCUAUCCCCUGUAAGAAAUUGUCAAACCAUUUUCCAAAGUGGUUGUACCAUUUUGCAUAUCCACCUGAAAUAUAACAGAGUUCCAGCUGCUCUACAUCCUCAUCAGCGCUCUAUGUUGUUAGCUUUUAAAAAGCUAUUCUGGCCAGGCACGGUGGCUCAUGCCUGUAAUCCCAGCACUUUGGGAGGCCAAGGCAGGUUCGAGACCAGCCUAGCCAAACAUGGUGAAACGCCGUCUCUACUAAAAAUACAAAAAAUUAGCUGGGUGUGGUGGCAGGCGCCUGUAAUCCCAGCUACUCGUGAGGCUGAGGCAAAAGAAUCCCUUGAACCACAGAGGCAGAGGUUACAGAGGCAAAAAAGUCACUUGAACCCCAGAGGCUGAGGUUGCAGUGAGCCAAAGUCACGCCAUUGCACUCCAGUCUGGGCAACAAGAGUGAAACUCCGUCUCAAAAAAAAAAAAAAAAAAAAAAAGCUAUUCAGCUAUUCUAAUAGGCGUGCAGCAAGAUCUAAUUAUAGUUUUGAUCUGCACUUCUCUAAUUAUGCUGAUGAAUAUCUUUUUAUGUGUUUAUUUGCUACUCAUAUCUUUUUGGCUAAAUAUCUGUUCAUGUCUUUUUCCAGUUUUUCUAAAAGUUGGCUAAUUUGAUUUCUUAUUGAAUUGUGAGAGUUUUUAAAAUCCAUAUUAUUUAUACAAGACCUUCAUCAGAUAUGUGAUUUACAAAUAUCUUCCCCCAGUUUGUUGCUUGUCUUCAUUGUCUUAACUGUAUUUUUAGAAGAAAAGACUUUUAAAAUUUUUGUCUAAUUUAUUAACUUUUAAUUAAUUAAUUUUGCUAAUUUUGUUUUCAGGGACUAUUUUUGUGUGGCAGGAAAUAGGGAGAUAUUGAAGAAUUUUGAGCAGGGGAUCAACAUAUUAAAAGAGACAUUAGGAUAAAAAUUGGUUUGAUUGUAGACAACAAUUUAAAUUGAAGUAGAAAUAAAUCUAGGGUAAGAGAAAUUAGCUGUUACAAUAAAUUAGGCAUGAAAUAAAUGAGGAAUUUAGGUAAGUAUGGUAACAACCAGAAUUAUACCUUAUUAAAAUUUCAUCUAUCUGCUUAACUAGAAUCUGCUAAUGAUUGAAUAGAUUUUCUUAUAGCCAGGGUUACUUCGGAUGACUCCAAAGGGAAAUCCAGAGACUUCCCUGAUCAGCAACAUGAGGAGGCCCCCAACCUCCUUAAUCCUAUUUGGCCAGUUCCUCCAAUGCCCUUUUUAAGAAAAUGUGUAUCAUGGUUUUCCAUGCAGUCAGGAAACAUAAACUUUCUAGGAUGCAAUUUAGUCAUAAUGCUUAUAUCUAUUAGUUAUUGCUAUAUCACAAACCACUUCAAAAGUUAGGGUCUUAAAACAACCAUCAGCCGGGCGCCGUGGCUUGCUCCUGUAAUCCUGGGCCGAGGCAAGCAGAUCACUUGAGGUCAGGAGUUCGAGACCAGCUUGGCCAACGUGGUGAAACCACAUCUCUACUAAAAGUAUAAAAAUUAGCCAGGCAUGGUGGUGGGUGCCUGUAAUGCCAGCUACUCGAGAUGCUGAGGCAGGAGAAUCACUGGAACCCAGGAGCGGAGGUUGCAGUGAGCUGAGAUCGUGCCACAGCACUCCAGCCUCGGCGACAGAGCAAGGCUCUGUCUCAAAAAAAACAAAAACAACCAACCAACCAACCAACCAAACAAAAAACAAAACCGUUGUUUACUUAGCUCAUGAUUCUGAAGAUUUGACCAUUUGGGGUGGGAACAGCUGGGUUCUUCUGGUUCCUUCUGGGUCCUCUACUUGGCUACAGAUGGCUUUGUUGAUCUUGGCUGAGCUCUCUCAAAUGUCCUGGUGCCUUGGCUAGCUUAUUGAAGCCCAGGCUUAGCAUUAACAAGUGCCUUCCAUGGUAUUUAAUUGGACAAAGUAAGUCAAAGGCAGCCCAGAUUCAAGGAGUGCAUACAAGGAGGGGAAUAAUCGUAGGCAUUUUUGCAAACAAUCUGCUUCGGUGCUUAUCUUCAGACCUGAGAUAUGGUCAUGUUUGUGACAUUCCUUGGAAAGAAAAGCAUCCUAGAGACCUUUCUAGGAGUUACUGGUGAAGGAAGUAUUUAGAAGAUAAACUUUCAUUAAAUUCAUUGUAGCAGGAUCUGGGAAUUAGGAUCUCAAGGGGAAAUCCCAACUCUUGUUGUUUGCUUCCCGUAAGAAUAAGAAACAGCAGCAUUAUCAAGUGCUGUACUUUACUACAAAUAUUAACCGGCAACAAUUGACCCUCUCUGGGACUUUCCAUUUAGUUAUUUACUGGAAGCUGUUCUGUAAUUUUCAGCAGUGCUGUUAUCUAUGAGAUUACUUUUCUUUUAGCUGUGCUGGGUUUUCAGACGCAUUAAUAUAGCUUAAUAUCUCUUCCUGUUGCUUCUCUAAUUAAAAGCUUGUUGGAUUUCCAAAUAAGAAAUAACAUACACAAGCACUGGUAAUUCAGGCUGCUAAUAAUUGGGAGAAAAACUUCAGCAAGGAACAGCAUCAACCAGGCAUGAGGGAUCUUAUGAUCCGGCAAAGAAAGAGGCCUAGGAGUCUGGGGAGGAUUGCAGGGCAGUGAUCUGGCUCUGAGCAGCUGGCCUCCCUGAGAGGGGCUGCUGCCGAUGAAGGACCGCCAACAGACAGCCUGAGUAUAGUGCAUGUGCCCUGUCCCAAGAUGGAUGUUUGAAUCCUGGAUCCAAGAGAAGAGCUCAUGUCUGUUUUUCCAAUCACUGCUUGUAUCCUUUCCUGCUUCCCCAAGUCCCUCAUUCCUCUCCUCCCGGCGGCUUUUGCCCUCUUUGGUCCAGGCCGCAGGAAACCGUUCCUCUAGUUCUAACAAUCGGCCACUAGAUGGCACUAGAUGUUCGGAUUAAAGUGCCUUCCUGAGCUCCACGGGCCCAGGGCGAGGGCAGGCAGGGUCUGAAGACAGCUUCUCUCGGCCACCGUCAUUCUCUCUCCCACUUCGCUCUUCACUUCUCAUCCCUUCCUCAUCCCAUUUAAACAUUAGAUUCCUUCCAGCAGCGGUGUUUGCGUGAUUUCAAAGGUAAGGACACAGAAGCCCAGGGAAUAUAAGUAACCUCCCAAAAAUCGCACAGCAGAUCCAACUAGCACAAUGUCAAUGAUGAAAUGGACCAGUGUCAUAUUCUGCGGGAUAUCAAGGCAAUCAAGAUCAUCUUGGACUGUAUUGUGACAGAGGGCCAGGGAGUGAACAGAGCCCUUAUAAUGACAGAUCUCAUAUAUCGCAGCAACAAAGAUGGCCCCCAGGAGUUCCAUGGACCCUUAUUUCUCAUCAUUUAGAAGGAGAAAGCACCUCUUUCCUCAGUUCCUCUCUUCAGGACUCCCAGUACCCCUGCUUCUGGUGACAGCCCAUGGCAGGUGGGGAGGACGUGCAGAUGGAAAGAAUGAGAAGGGCAGGUUUGGGCCCUCAUGGGUGACAGAAAAGUACCAGAGUUCUGGUUCCUCUUUGAACACACAUGUUCUCUGGGUUUCGCCUUGCAGCCCAAGAAGAGAGGAGGCUUGGAAUCACCACACUUCCCACAGCAAGGGCAAUCUUUAAAGGCAGUAAGGUGUGACGCUCCAGACUGGCAGCUUGGCAAGACAGAGCCCAUGGAUACCAGCACACGGGAAUCUGGACGGCUCACUCUGACAGCAGUCAGCACUGGGAACAAAAGGAAUGGAGGGAAAAAAGCGCAAAUGUAUUUUUACAUAUUGUAGGCAUAUGGCCACAAGACCAGCAGAAAUAUAUUUAAUUACCAAUUGCACGCAUUGAGGAGAAAAACACUGGAAAUGGGGGAAAAACUGUAUACACAGCAAUAUUAUUCUAAUUUAACUUUUCACCUCAGUUUUUUUUUUCUUUCUUUAAUUGAAAAUGGAAGGGAAUGUGGGUUGGAAUCGCAAAGGGUUAUCUUCUGGAAUUCUAUCAAAGGUGAUGUGGGAUUUUGACAUGCCUUCUUUAACAGCAUAACAUUAUAGAAAGAAAUAGGAAAGUUUUCUUUUAGUUAUUUUAAUUAUGAAAUAAUUUGACCAAGGCGUUUUGGGGGAGUGGGGCAGACCGGAUUUGAAAUAUAACAGUUAGACAAUCUUACUGUCAUGUUAAAACUGUACUUUUGAUGUUACACAUUAGGCCUCAACAAUUAAUAACCUAAUCUUGAAAAAUUAUAUUCUUGUUCUUUUCUAUGAAAGCAGAAUACUUCAACCCCAUUUAUUGUCAGGUAUUGUCCUAGCCAGUGGAGGUACAGAGGUGAAUCAGAUGUCAUCCCUGCACUGAAGAAGCAUAGCCUAGGCUGGGAGACAAAUACACAUAUAUAUAAUUAUAAUGUUAUACCAUUAAAUUAUUAAAUAUGUGAAAAUUAUCAUUAGCUAAAAUCACAAUUAUAAUACACAUAAUACCAUCUAUAUAAGGCAAUGAUGUAGCUAUAUGAAUCCAGGGGCCAUAGAGGAUUGACUCUUAGUUCAGUCUGGGUGUCAGUCACACUGGAGGACCAGGGAGGAGACCUCUUCCAGGAAAAGCUGAUGAAAAGGAUCAGUGAGAAAAAGCCCGGGAAGAAGGCAGUUGCAUUUUGCAGAAUGAAGGAGUUUGGGCCAGUGUGAGCCAGCUCCCUUCCUAGGGUGCCGGCUCAGGGAGUCAGGUAAUGGGGCCAGGGAAACGUGUGCCCACUGACUUGGGAAAGAGAGAGGGGCCCAUACCUCCUUCUUGGCAGGAAAGAAAAUCACAGCCCCGAAAAAGUAACUUGCCAGGAGCCCCCUUCUUUGUAGCAUUCCUAUCACUGACUUCCUGUUAGCCUGGGUCUCCUGUUCUCACCCUGCUCUUUGAAAUCCUUGGUGGCCAGUGCCGGCUAUGUAGGUGACCUGUGCUCCCUGGUCCCAUGGAGGUUCUGCCCAGCUGACCAGCCUUGCAGUCUGUUUCUGCAGCCCAGAUAAUGGUUCAGAGGCAUGUUAAUGUGUGCUUUGCUUUAUGUAGCAAAUAUCAUCUUGAAAAGUUUUUUUGUACAUUUACUUUUUUUUUGUAAAGCGACCUACAUAAUAAAAGCACUAGGGGAGCUGGUUAUUUAAAGGAACCCUGUAGUGAAUCUUUUCAUAAUGUAGAAGCCAUUCCUUAAUUAAUCUUUGUUUUUCAUCAGACAUACCUGUGCCUCUGUGGCUUUUCUUUUUUUUUUUUUCUAAGAGGAAGCGGCCUAGGCUAUAGUGCCAAGUGCGUGAGACUGAGGGCCAGGGCUUCCAGAGCGCAUGCUGAGCUGUUGCUGGCUGCCACUGGGUUGAGGAUGUGAGCAUAACCUUGGGGUCAGUUCUAUCUUCUGACAAAGGCACAAUCAAAUGGGCUUAGGUUCAAAUCCGGGUUUUACCAUCCAUCGACUUCAUUUGGCAAUUCACUUGUUUCCUUGAAUGUUAGUUCUUUACCCAUGUACUGGGUGGUUACAUACGUCAAAUCAAAAAGUUUCUCCGAGGGCCUGGCAUCAUAGCUAUGACUAAGGGUUUGCUUGCCCCCACUCCAAUUCUACUCUGCUCCACUCUGCAACAGCCCCUUGGAGCAAGAGCCACAGCUGGACUUGUUGGGAGGAAAUACUUGUUAACUUGGGACCUCCCUGCAACUGUUUCCUCAGAGGAGAGGAAAUGCCCACUCUACUCCCCAGGAGGAAGGUGGAUAAAAGACAAUAUUUUAGACUAUUCUUUACCCCUGGUUACCCAUGGUAAAAAGUGAUUGAUCUUAAUAGUAAAGUUUCAGAUACAGCCAUCUUGGGCAGGUCUGUACAUUCAAGUAUGGUAGUAUGGGCUGCCCUCCCCCACCGCCACACCCUCAGACAGGCCCAUAUGUUUUAAAUUGAUCCAAAUCUGCUCUUUUUUUCCAUAUCUGAGCCCACCCCUGUGGCUCUUCAGGAGCUUUUGGUCUGAGCAAGGGUCCCACAGCCUCCCCUGAUCCUGUUUCAUCAGUUAUAAACCUGUUGGAACAUUGUGUCUGCUCAGCUUGCUAGAACUUUUUACCUCCCUAUCCUCUAGCUGCUGGGGAGGGCAGACACCUGCUUGGCACCACACAUGCUUUCCGGUCAUCUGGUCACCUGUGGGCCUGCAGCUAGGGUGGUGGUUGUGGCUGGAGCUUAGAGCCACAUCCAGUGAGGGUCACAGAGCUCCUCAGAGAAGUGCUGGGAGUGAGACUCCAACCCGCCCCAGCACUGAGGUGGGGUUGAGGGAUGUGGCUGAAUGACCAAGGGGAUGGCCAUAGACUCUAUCCAGGAAGAGAAAUCCCAAGGGCAGGCAGGUUAACCUGUCCCCACAAACUCAUGUCCAGGCCCUGGGGUUCCCAACCCUGACUGAUGAGAACCGACAGCUAUACCCUUUUGGUUGGCAUUUCUGAGAAUUGCGUGGACAAUUCUCUUCUCUUUUCUUACUGAAGGAAGGACAGAUAUAGAGGUGGUUCUAACUCUGGUGCUGGUAUAUUUGUGACUAUCACUGGGAUCAUAUUACCAGAGUAAGUUUGACCAAUUUGGAGAAUUGGCCUUGGAGAGGUCAACACUUAAGAGAAAGGCCAAGGCCAUGGCCUGGCUCAAAUGGAUCCCAUUUCUUGCACAUGAGUUACACUGACUCAGUUAUUGGAGAGCCCUCUUGUGCUUGGGUAGGAAUUUGAAAUGUUGAAGUAGUCAUGGGUUAGGGACCUGCUGCUAAUGACCCUCCUGUAACCCAAACUUAAGAUACUUCUGGAAAAUAGACUACAUCAGAAGACUUCUAAGGUCCCUCAUUCACUCAUUCAUCUAUUCUUUUAUCUGGGAUUUAUCAGGGACCUACCAUGUACCAGGUUCUAUACCACCUGUUGGAGAAACAAUGGUGAAUGAGUCCCUGCACUUCCAAGGCUUGCAGUCCAGUAGUAGAGAGGCAAGUGAAGACAAUUAACUCGGUAUGAGAAGCACAAAAGAUAGAUAGGGGAGCACAGACCAGGGACAGCACACCCAGUUUAGAGGGACUGGGAAACAUUUCUGGAGAAAAUGAUCAGUAAUGUUAGGUGUUUUUGUCCAGGAAAGGCUGAGGGGGGUGACAACACCCUUCCAAGAAGGCUUGCACUGUGAACAACACUGAAGUGACUUGCCCAGGGGCACUCUAUAAGUAGCAGAGCCUGGAUUGUUCAAAAGUGAAACCCUACGUUCUUAGUCACGUUGCUCCACUGUCAAUAUUGAAAUGAUUAUUCAAGAGGCCCAACUAUUGAUUAUAAACAAUAGUGCAUUGCAGAUCUGGCUGCUUUCUUGGCCAUGUGGGGCUUUGAGCUCUAGCCCCUAAAUCAGCAGAGAAAACACAAUCCAGCCACAGAUGGUGGCUCACACCUGUAAUCCUAGCACUUUGGGAGGCUAAGGCGGGUGGAUCACCUGAGGUCAGGAGUUCGACACCAGCCUGGCCAACAUGGUGAAACCCGUCUCUACUAAAAAUACAAAAAAAUUAGCUGAGCGUUGUGGCAGGCACCUGUAAGUCUCAGCUACUUGGGAGGCUGAGGCAGGAGAAUCGCUUGAACCCAAGAGACAGAAGUUGAAGUGAGCAGAGAUUGCACCACUGCACUCUAGUCUGGGUGACAGAGUGAGACUCUGAAAAAAAAAAGAAGGAAGAAAGGAAGGAAGGGAGAAAGGAAAGAGAGAAAAGAAAGAAAGAAAAAGAAAGAGGGAAGAAAGAAAAAGAAAGGAAAGAAAAAGAAAGAAAAGAAAAAGAAAGAAAAAAGAAAGAAAAAGAAAGAAAGAAAAAGAAAGGAAGAAAGAAAGGAAGAAGAGAAGAAAGGAAGAAAGAAAGGAAAGAAAGAAAGAAAGAAAGAAAGAAAGAAAGAAAGAAAGAAAGAAAAAGAAAGAAAGAAAGAGAAAGAAAGAAAAAGAAAACACAAUCCAAACUAUUGAGUAGUCAGGGGAGUUAGGCAGGAACAAUACCGAUGUUGUCUGGACCCUGAAUAACAUAUUCCAAACAACUUUCUCAUUGCCUAAGUAAGUCGAAAGUACUGUUUUGCAAUUUGGUUGCAGUGUGCAAGUUUGGUUGAUUUCAUGUGUCUUAAAGAAUUAUGCUCUGUAGACACCAUGUGAUUACUUUUUAAAGUGAAGUGAAGUAAGAGUGAUACUUAAUAUCACAGUAUUAGGGCAAUGCCUUUAUAAAUUAGAUGCCUACUUUAAAAUUUAUAAAAUUGUGGCACCAAAUAUAUGUACAGUCAACCUGCUGUAUCUGGAGGUUCCACGUCUGUGGAUUCAACUAAUCAUGGAUUGAAAACAUUUUUACAAGAUGGCUGGUCAUGUCUGUCCUGAACAUGUAUGAAAUUUUUUAUUGUUAUUCCCUAAACAAUAUAGUAUAGCAACUAUUUACAUAACAUUUACACUGUAUUAGGCAUUACAAAUAAUUUAGAGAUGAUUUAAAGUAUACAGGAGGUUGUGCAUAGGUUGUAUGCAAAUACCAUGCCAUUAUACAUGAGAGACUUAAGCAUCUGUGGAGUUUGAUAUUAGCAGUAGGUCCUGGAAUCAAUCCUCCAGUGAUACUAAGGGAUAACUGUAUAUUCAUAUUCUGUCUCCUGGAAAGAUAUAAAAUGUCUCACAACAAAAGUAAUUUUUUUUAAAAAUUAAGAUUCAAGGAAGUAACACUAGGAAGUUCAAUUUGAAUGGAAUAUACAUAAAAUUUAUUUCUGGGUUCCCUGGGAGCCAAAGCAAAAAGGGAAACAUGAAAAAAAUGCAUAAUUUUUUUUUAUCAAAAAGGAGAAAGCAGAUUCACUCCCCCUGGAAAAAAAAGUGUUUGCAAAGACAAAAAUUCUAAAAAUAGUAAUUUAACAUAGACUUAACCUUUGGAAGAAAGAAGAAACAAUUCAAGGUGUUUGUAAUGUAAUGGAUUAUCAUAUAAUCAAGAACUAUGAUGAAAUAGAGAACACUCUUUCCUUUAAACCUAGAACAGAGAAAGAAUUCCUAUCAGAGAACUAUUAAUGGAAAGUCAGAACCACUAGGCUCUGAUGUGCAGAUCUAGGUUCAAAAUGCAGCGCUUAUUUAUCUAUUUAGUUAUGUGUUUAUGAGGCAACUAUUUGUUGAUUACCUAGUCUGUGCCAUUCAUGUUUCUAGGGCUGUGAUGGAGUGAUGAAAAAGAAAAAGUCCCUGCUCAUAAUUCACAUAAUGACUCCAGCACAUUAAUAUAAAAUUUUACAGUUUUAAUUGUCACAUGAUGUGUGAUGGAUGAAUUAUGAGUUAAUCAACUUACAUGAUACUUUAUGGUUUGCAAAAUGUUUUCACACAUCAUUACAACCCAAAUCUCCUUGCAGAAGCAUGGGGACAUUCUAGACAUAGCUCAACAUUCAAAUUUGGACUAAUGCUCCUGGUUAAGGAGUCUUGAUAUAUCAUGAAAGUAUUGGUUGUGCUUAUAUUUUUCCAUUAAAAAGGAUAUGCUUAAGAGCCCAUUUCAGUAAUUAGGAAGAAAGUUAGCUAGCAAAUGCCACAAGAGACUUUAACAUACCUUGAUGUGCUUAAGAGUUGAACAUUGCACUCAGUGACACUUAGUUUAAUGAAUAUCACAAUUUUCUUCACAUCCCAUGAAGCAUUGCAGGACUUUUGGCAAAAUGUGAGGUCCUUCUGCUAGGCACAGCUAGGAAAUACUAAUAACUGUUAAAUGAGAACCUCUUGUUCCUAUCUUAAGGCAAUGACAUCAUUCAUAUGGUUCACUCAGCCUCUCAGGCCUUUUAUUCUCCUCCUUCAGCAUGCCUAUUGCAUACAAUAGGUAAAGAAUUCUCCUUCUUUUCCAGUUAAUUAACCCACCUGCUAAUAAUACUCUUCUGUCCUUGAUUGAUUCAGAGCAACCUCCAGCUGUCAGCCUCCUAUCUAGUCAGAAGCUUUUGAUGAUGAAAAUGGAGUCCAUAAGAAAGAAAUGGGCUACAAAUAUUAAGUGCAGGCAGGCAAGGUGCAAGUAGGGUGAUAUCUUAUCCCAGUUUGCCCAGAAUUUUAUGCUUUUAGUGCUGAAGAUCCCAAGUCCUGGGAACCCACUAAAUAGGACUAGGAAUUGUUCCCCUAAGUGCAGGGAAUCAUCUCUAUAGUCAAACAGCAACAAAUGAGUAAACAUGAGGGGGCAGGUAACAGCAGAUGUUUUAGUUUGGAUUCCUCCAAUAGCAGGCUCUAAGUCUAGGAUUCCAUGCAAGUGGUUUACUGGGAGAUGAUCCUAGGAAACAGUGGUAGGGGAGAAGAGAAAUGAGAUAGGAAAGCAAUUGCCACUGUGGGCAUCUGGAACCUAUUCCUACUGAGAAACACUGAGAGUAGUGCAAUACAUGUGCCUUUGAGCCAUGCUGCCUGAGGGGAAUUGGAGUUGGGGUAACUACCAGUUGUUAGUUGAAGUCUGUUCUUAGUGGUGGAGGCGGAGUUUGCUAAUUGUGCCUGCUGAGCCUAUGGGCAGAGUGGACCUCAAUUUUCCGAGAAAGUUCUCCAACCAAAAGAUGCAGAUGCUGCAGGUAGAAGCUGUGCUAUAUUGCACACUGAAAUGGUAAGGUAGGACAGUGAUGAUGCUGUUACAAUGGGUCUACAUUGUUUUCCAGGUCAACUCAUUCUACAGCACUGACUGGCUAACUCUUCCCUGUGUGGACACAGCUUCUUUGGUAAUAUAAGAAAAAAACAUGUGUGCUAGAUAUGGGGGAGAGUAAGGAUUUGAGUGGAUAUUUGAAAGGCAGAUGAGUUUGAUGCCUUGGAAUCAUGCCUAAUAUAUGUUCUUUUCAUUCGUGAUUAUCAUAUAGCCAAACUAUAGAUAUGUGGGAUUAGUAGUCUCCAAUAAGGCCACUUCCAAGUAGUCUUCCAAGUAGCCUUCAAUCAUACCACUUCAGGCAUUAAUUCUAUUAGUCUGAAUGAUUUGGGCAGAUGAGACUUUUGAACACCACUUGGUCUUACCAUGGCUUAUGAGGCCUCAUUAUCAUAAAAAGUAGACUUGUUCUUUCACUUAUAUCUUUCUCUGAGCCAUUAUAAACCAUUUUAUUAUUUCUGUCUUUGAGCUGAACAAAGUUGUCUCUCAGGUCUCCUAUAGAAAUAUCUAGAACAUGACCUCCUUCUGAAGUUUGUAAUGUAUUCAGAGUGGAAUGCGAUGGUAAGCUGUGCACCUGGGUAUACAAGCAAGGUACUUGGAGUUGAUGGGUGAGCUACAUUCAGCCUCAUUCAGCCCUGAAGACCAAGAUUGUUCAUCUUCCAGCUGACCUGACAAGCACCUCUGCCAAAUAGAGAUUAUUGAAUCUGGAUAGACGCUGAAGAGUCAAUCAGAUUGUUGUUCAAGGAGUUUAGCAAAGACAAUUGGUGAACAGAAGCCAUAUGUAAUUAAAAGCCUCACUGUAGGGAGAGACCAGUGUGAGAAUUGCUUGGUUGUGGUGGAGAGAUCUUAGGCACAAAUGCAGAGCAGUUGUGUGGAGCUGUGGUCAUGACAGACGGUCUUUGGAAUGAGAAGCAAUGUUUCCCUGCCAUGGAGAGGAAAAGGAAACCAGGUGGCUCAACCUGGCUUGUGUCUUAAAAGUCAACCCAGCAUCUAUGAGUCUGCCUCUGAAGCUAUUGGGACACUCUUCUGUAUUCUUCAGUUCCCACGUGCAGCCUUAUGAGAAAUAGUUAAUUGUCUCCACCAACCCGAAAUAACCCAACUAACGUAUCUUUUAAGUAUUUGAAAUCACCACUCACCUGUCUCUGACUUAGGCUAAACAAUUUUAAUUCCAUUAUUUUUUAUUUUUACCAUUUAAACAUUAGUUUAAUUUUAAUUUUUUUUUUUCGGAGAUGGGGUCUUACUCUGUCGCCCAGGGCUGGAGUGCAGUUGCACAUGGCUCACUGCAGCCUCAACCUCCUGUGUUUAAGCGAUCCUCCCUACCUCUAGCCUCCUGAGAAGCUGGGACCACAGGCAUGUGCCAGCAUGCCCUGCUAAUUUUUACUUUUUUAUUUUUGUAGAGAUGCAGCCUCCUUAUGUUGCCCAGGGCUGGUCUCAAACUCCUGGGCUCAAGUGAUUCUCCUGCCUCGGCCUCCCAAAGUGCUGGGAUUAUAGGCAUGAGCCACUGCACCUGGCCUUAUUUUGAAUUUGAAGACUUAUACAUUCAAUUCAGCCUCUUCAAGUCCUCCUACCUAGGAGGCACUGGGGAGUAGACUAGCAUGAGAUAUGAGACUUAGGGUCAGAAAUACAUAGAUUCCAAGCUUGGCCCAGCAGUCCACUUUAAAUGUGCAUAUGGGCAAGCUACUUAACUUCUCUGAAGCUUAAAUGAGAAUUAUAUUUAUAAUUAACAAUAUUAUUAUUACCCCCACAAAAAAUAAGAUACGUGAAAAUCUUUUUCUCUACCCUUCCUUGCCCUCAGAUAUAUUCUAUGAAAGACUGAGAUUUGUUAUCUUAUAAAAUAGAAUCUAAUAAAGAAAAUAAAAGAGUAGGAAUUAAAAACAUGAUAAAUGGAGAAUAAUAAGUGAAGAAAGCCAAUAUUAUUUGAGCUACAAACUUAAUAGUGAGCUUCUUGGAAAUGAACAAAAGCAAAAUGCAAUAGUCACAUCCUACUCUAAUAAAAUGAAAUAUAAAAUUUUAUAAAGUAAGAAAUAUGAUUUUUAGUUUACCUGUAAUGUGAAUUGUUACAUUGGUUCUGUUUUAAGAGACAUUGAAACAGACAGCAGAAAUUUUAUAGUAGACAGAGAAAGGACCUCUGUAUCCUAUUUCUUUUAUUAACUGCAAAUUAAAAGCUAUGCAUGUAGAGUUGUGUUGGAGGUUUCUUGAAGGUAUUUUCAUAGACAGAUGAGAGAAGAUAUAGCCAAGGUAGCCAAGACAUGUUUUUUCUUUUCUUUUCUUUUCUUUUUUCUUUUUUCUUUUUGGGCGACAGGUUCUCACUCUGUUGCCCAGGCUGGAGUGCAGUGGCGCGAUCAUAGCUCACUGCAGCCUCAACAUCCUGAGCUCAAGCCAUCUUCCCAUGCAAGCCCCCCAGUAGCUGGGACUACAGGCAUGUGCCAGCACACCUGGCUAAUUUUUUAUUUUUAGUUUUUGUAGAGACGAGGUCUCACUACGUUGCCCAAGCUAGUCGUGAACUCCUGGACUCAAGGGAUCCUCCCACCUCAGUCUCCCAAAGUGUUGGAAUUACAGGCAUGAGCCACUUCCUGGCCAAGGCAUGUGUUUUCUAAUAAAAGUGAAUAAAUGUAGCAACACAGCAUGAAGGAUCUAGAGUAAUUGUUUAUGUCCUUUCUCUGUUUUCAAAUAUGAAUUGCCUUGGUUUAUUUUCAUAUUGCACUAGCUUCCUAACUGGUCUCCUUGCUGCAAUCUUGCAUGCCGUGAGUCUUUUCUCUAUGAGGCAGCCAGGACAAUAUUUCUAUUUUGUUGUGUCACUUGCUGGUUUUAAGCUAUUUCUACGGUCCACUCCUAAAUUCUUGAAGUUUUUCAGAUAUGCCAUGUAGUUCCCCCUUUGCACAUUCUCCUUUUCCUGGAAUACCAUCGCUAUUGUCAACUAGAUUGCCAGGUUAAUAUAAUCCUUUGGAAGUCAGAUCAGACAUCGCUACUUCUAGAAAAACUUAACCACCCCAACCUUGUCUGAAUUUGUUUCCUCUCCUCUGUGUUCUUAAGCAUUCUACUACACAGUAUUGUUAUUUUGUAUUUACCUGUCUAUAAGUCAGAGGCACCAUUGUCAGAUCUUCAUCAAGCCUUCUGUGUUGGCAGAGUCCUGUUAUAUAGGAGGGGCUUAAUACAUAUUUCUUAAGUGAGCGAAUGACUUAGUAGGAGCUGGCUUUCAAACCAAUAGUCAAUGUCAUGUUAAUAACCAAUGAACAUUUUCCCAAAGUAUGUUUCAGAAAACACUGCUUCUGAGAAAUAUUAUAGGUGUCCUGGACAGAACACUUCCAUAGUUAAGGAAGUAGAAAAUGCUGCAUGUUCUAUCUCUCCAAAAAGUCGCUAUUUUCAUUAGAAUAUUAAAGGCUCUGGCAUGUUUUUCAAUUAAUAAACUUAUUUACUAUAUAUUUUUCUUACUUUUGUGUGUGUGUGAUUGUGUAGUACCUGUUGGAACUAAUUACUUACGACAAAAACAGCUUGAAAAACCUUGCUCUGCAGGCUUUACUUAAAAUUCGGAAAUCAGAUCAAGCACUGUAGCUCAAGUGCCUGUAAUCCCAGCACUUUAGGGGGCCAAGGUGAGAGGAUCACUUGAGGCCAGGAGCUUGAGACCAGC
rnacentral:lncRNA from 1 species